UGCAGUCGAACGGCAGCACGAGAGCUUGCUCUUGGUGGCGAGUGGCCAACGGGUGAGUAAUAUAUCGGAACGUAUCCAAUAAUGGGGGAUAACUAAUCGAAAGGUUAGCUAAUACCGCAUACGCCCUACGGGGGAAAGCAGGGGAUCUUCGGACCUUGCGUUAAUGGAGCGGCUGAUAUCUGAUUAGCUAGUAGGUGAGGUAAAGGCUCACCUAGGCUUCGAUCAGUAGCUGGUCUGAGAGGACGACCAGCCACACUGGAACUGAGACACGGUCCAGACUCCUACGGGAGGCAGCAGUGGGGAAUUUUGGACAAUGGGCGCAAGCCUGAUCCAGCCAUUCCGCGUGAGUGAAGAAGGCCUUCGGGUUGUAAAGCUCUUUCGCAAGGGAAGAAACGAUACCGACGAAUAAUCGGUGUUAAUGACGGUACCUUGAUAAGAAGCACCGGCUAACUACGUGCCAGCAGCCGCGGUAAUACGUAGGGUGCGAGCGUUAAUCGGAAUUACUGGGCGUAAAGCGUGCGCAGGCGGUUUUGUAAGUCAGAUGUGAAAUCCCCGGGCUCAACCUGGGAACUGCGUUUGAAACUACAAGGCUAGAGUAUGGUAGAGGGGGGUAGAAUUCCACGUGUAGCAGUGAAAUGCGUAGAGAUGUGGAGGAAUACCAAUGGCGAAGGCAGCCCCCUGGACUAAUACUGACGCUCAUGCACGAAAGCGUGGGGAGCAAACAGGAUUAGAUACCCUGGUAGUCCACGCCCUAAACGAUGUCUACUAGUUGUUGGGAGAGUAAAAUCUCUUAGUAACGCAGCUAACGCGUGAAGUAGACCGCCUGGGGAGUACGGUCGCAAGAUUAAAACUCAAAGGAAUUGACGGGG
rnacentral:rRNA from 1 species